AGAGGAGCCUAUGUGAUUGGUGAAAACAGGUCUCAGCUGUGUUAAACCCACUCCAUGCCCUCUCUCCUCCCUCGCUACGACUUACGCCGCUGGGAGGAGCUGAGUUAGCCCGUUGCACCCGACGGUCCCUCUCCCGGGCCGAGAUUUUGCUGCAUAUAUUUAAACGCUGUAAAAAAUGUAUUGAAACUUGACCGCGGUGUUUACUUUCAAUUCUCAAUCAAAGUUUAGACUCUAAUGUUCACAGAACUGGGUCGGAUGUCUGUUUUAGUGUAAACGUUACCUUUUUAUGACGAUUUUAAUCUGUCUUGGUGUCUCUGUCUGGACAUUUAAAUUUUGCGACAUCGACCGAAUCAAAGCUUUACAGUGUAGCGGAGACAGGCUCCGUCCGGCCAUGUCUGUAGUCAUUUGAAAGGGGAGAACCUACUGAAUCGAUUGGCAUCAAUCUUUCCAAAGACUACAUUUCCCAGCUUUGAAAAAAGCCGGGCGUAAAGUGUUCGUAAUCUGUGCGCUUUUAGGUGCAGCGCCCCACAGACGAAGGCAGGAUGCUGCAUCGCACACUGAUCAGUCGGGACUCUCCUGUAAACUUUCUCCACCACUUAUAAAACUUCUCUUGAGUACUUUUCAACCAGGAAAAGAAAAGUUCAACUCUUAGAGGGAUAUGGCGGACAUUUUAUUAGAAAUUCAGCGGGGCUCAGACGGUGAAUUUGAGGACUCGUCUGACUCAGUAAUGGCGUCGGCUCUGAGGAGGAGGCAUUGUUUACAUCAGAAGUGGACCCAGUUUAAUAGUAAGUAUUUGCAUUUGUCUAUAAAGACGUGUUGUGUAAAUUGAUAUGCAUGGAACACCUUUGUCAUAAAACUGUAAACACUGUAGUAAGUAUGGCAAUCCAAUAGCAUCGAAUAUUACUGCAGUUUCACUAUAUCUGUUUAUUUUGGGCUUACUUUGCUUGCAGAUACUGCAUUUUAUCUGUCUUUGAAUAUAUGCUUUAUGAGAAAAAUAAAUGAAGUACAUAUAAAUGCAAACAAAAUAUAGUAGAGCUACUCAAUUUAGUGAAUAAGUUUACAUAUAUCCACAACUUUUGUGUCCAUCAGUGAAAUGUACAAAUGUUGUUUAUUUUUGUUCUGCAUAGUAAUUGAUCACCAUUUUCACAGCCACCAAGAAGAGGGGAGUGAGGCACAUCCACCCCUACCCCCCAUCAGGGGUUUUUCACACCUUCAGUACUCCCUGCACCAGACGCCCCACCCCCACCCUUUCCUGCAAGAAAGGUGACAUUGCUUGUAUCAAGGUUUGUGUACUGAUCAUUUGUUUGAUUCUGGUCUCUAAAAGAAAUAAUACACUCUUUACUGCUUCAAUUAUGCAUUUAUAUGUAUUCAUUACAUUUAAUUUACUCUACCUGUGUUUGCUGUAUUUUAUAUUGUUAUAUAUUGUUUUUAAUGUACAAUAUUUGUUGCACUUUUACUUUUUAUUUUACAUUGUUUGCUCAGAAUGUUUGUUUGUUUCUCUUUUUGCACUUUUUUCAAAUAAAGAUACUCCCUGUGAAGAAAGAAAUGUAGAAGUUCCUGUUAUUUUUCACUAUUCUGUAUUACAUAUAAACAAAUAUAUUGUGCAGAAUGGUAGAAAUUGAUGAGGCAAAAGGUAAAUUUCAUAUCUAAACGCUCCAAUAGGUAGUAGGAGACUAGUCUUAUGGAAAUAAAUUGUAAUUUGGAGCCAGUUCUCAUCAGAGGUAGAAAAUAAUCCAUUUGGCACAUUUUGGCACAAAGUGUGCCAAAUUGUGCCAAACUGAGUCCUCGCCUGGGUGUACCCUUACAAAAACCUUCAUGUAGGCUUUACUGUUUGCUCAAAUUCUAUCAAAUUUGGUACAUUUGUGGUCAAGGAGUGGAUGAAGCUAAUCAAUGUCAUCUGGGGGCCUGGAAUCAUUGCCAGCAUUGUGUUUUCCCCUGUCAAAAAAAGAAAACAUUUUGGCGAGGGUAAAAAAACAUAACUUUUCCUCUGAUUCAUUCCAAUUUACUCAGGCAUAAUGACAGACAAAACACUUCUGACACUUGGAACACAUUCUCUGAAGUCUCUAGAUGUCCAAGGACACCAAGAACAUGCAUAUAACCUUUAGUAAAGUGUAGUAAUUCCUCAUUUACUUUGGGUAUGUCUUUUAGGCGUUUUUCUUUCCUUAAAAUAUGCUAAGGGUAGAACGGGUUAAGGAGGGGGGAUACUUACGCUGGGCUGCGUCGCUCACCAAAAUUCCAAAUUGUGCUUGGGAACGCCUUGUCGGCGCGGCGGACCUGACUUACGCUGCGCCUGCAGCACGUCUCCAGCGAGGCACGAAAUAGAGCCCCAUGUGUUACGGGCUUGUAGAUCGGCUAUUUUCACAAUAUCUAUAUGUGGAACAGAGUCAAACAAAUUAGGGGUUACCCAUUUCAAAUAUGAUUGUUUUGGGGGGGGUCAAGUCCUGAAAAGGUUGAGAAUUACAGUACUAGAUGGCAGCCAUCUUGAAUAUCGCGGUCAAAACAAAGUUGUAUGAUUAAAACUAUGUCAGAUUUGGAAUCCUCAUGCUUGACUUGUAUGGAAAAGUGCCUUCAUACAUGAUUCUAGGUCAUCCAGAUCAAAAGUAAAUUUUUAGAGAUGGCGCCGGCCGCCAUCUUGAAUUUGGCUGUCUAGCAAAAAAUGCCGGGAUUUUUGCGAGGGACCUGGGGGCUAAAUCUUUUCUAAAGGGUCCAUAGAGGUCAAAUCAAUCGUCAAAACAUCCUUGCCAGAGGAUGGUCACAGAAUCUCACUUUGUGACCCAACUA